GAUGAACGCUGGCGGCGUGCCUAAUACAUGCAAGUCGAGCGAAUGGAUUAAGAGCUUGCUCUUAUGAAGUUAGCGGCGGACGGGUGAGUAACACGUGGGUAACCUGCCCAUAAGACUGGGAUAACUCCGGGAAACCGGGGCUAAUACCGGAUAACAUUUUGAACCGCAUGGUUCGAAAUUGAAAGGCGGCUUCGGCUGUCACUUAUGGAUGGACCCGCGUCGCAUUAGCUAGUUGGUGAGGUAACGGCUCACCAAGGCAACGAUGCGUAGCCGAGCUGAGAGGGGGCUCGGCCAAACUGGGACUGGGACAGGGCCCAGACUCCUACGGGAGGCAGCAGUAGGGAAUCUUCCGCAAUGGACGAAAGUCUGACGGAGCAACGCCGCGUGAGUGAUGAAGGCUUUCGGGUCGUAAAACUCUGUUGUUAGGGAAGAACAAGUGCUAGUUGGAUAAGCUGGCACCUUGACGGUACCUAACCAGAAAGCCACGGCUAACUACGUGCCAGCAGCCGCAGUAA
rnacentral:rRNA from 1 species